UCUCUUAGUAUAACAAUAGUACAACUGACUUCCAAUCAGUUAGUCCUAGUACAAACCUAGGAAAGAGUA
rnacentral:tRNA from 1 species